GGAAAUAAGGCACCUAAUGCUAAAGUGGAAAACCCAGGUGAUUCAGUGCAGCAUAAUGGUGAAUCCACUGAUGGAUCGGAAGUCUUGAAAGACGCAUCCCAUGGUGAAUCAUCUAGCAUUCCAGUGGAACAGAAUAAAAAUCUGCGGGGAAAAGGCCGAGAAGAACUAAAGCCUCCACGAGUUCUCGAGGCUCUCUCAGCUUCUGGAUUGAGGGCUUUAAGGUAUGCUCGUGAAGUAGAAGGAAUUAGCCAGGUCGUGGCCCUUGACAAUGACAAAGCCUCUGUGGAAGCUUGCAGGAGAAACAUUAAGUUUAAUGGUUCAGUGGCAUGCUCUAAGGUGGAAUCUCACCUUGCUGAUGCAAGGGUUUAUAUGCUUACCCACCCAAACGAAUUUGAUGUGGUUGAUCUCGAUCCUUA
rnacentral:misc_RNA from 1 species